rnacentral:rRNA from 1 species
UACGAAGGGGGCUAGCGUUGUUCGGAAUUACUGGGCGUAAAGCGCACGUAGGCGGCGAUUUAAGUCAGAGGUGAAAGCCCGGGGCUCAACCCCGGAAUUGCCUUUGAGACUGGAUUGCUAGAAUCCGGGAGAGGUGAGUGGAAUUCCGAGUGUAGAGGUGAAAUUCGUAGAUAUUCGGAAGAACACCAGUGGCGAAGGCGGCUCACUGGACCGGCAUUGACGCUGAUGUGCGAAAGCGUGGGGAGCAAACAGG